UACAGAGGGGGCAAGCGUUGUUCGGAAUUACUGGGCGUAAAGGGCGCGUAGGCGGCCUGCUAAGUCGAACGUGAAAUCCCUGGGCUCAACCCAGGAACUGCGUCCGAUACUGGUUGGCUUGAAUCCGGGAGAGGGAUGUGGAAUUCCAGGUGUAGCGGUGAAAUGCGUAGAGAUGUGGAGGAACACCAGUGGCGAAGGCGACUUUCUGGGCUGUAACUGACGCUGAGGCGCGAAAGCGUGGGGAGCAAACAGG
rnacentral:rRNA from 1 species